rnacentral:rRNA from 1 species
CGGGAUCCAGAGAGCGGCGUACGGGUGCGGAACACGUGUGCAACCUGCCUUUAUCAGGGGGAUAGCCUUUCGAAAGGAAGAUUAAUACCCCAUAAUAUUUAGAAUGGCAUCAUUUUAAAUUGAAAACUCCGGUGGAUAGAGAUGGGCACGCGCAAGAUUAGAUAGUUGGUGAGGUAACGGCUCACCAAGUCUGCGAUCUUUAGGGGGCCUGAGAGGGUGAUCCCCCACACUGGUACUGAGACACGGACCAGACUCCUACGGGAGGCAGCAGUGAGGAAUAUUGGACAAUGGGUGCGAGCCUGAUCCAGCCAUCCCGCGUGAAGGACGACGGCCCUAUGGGUUGUAAACUUCUUUUGUAUAGGGAUAAACCUACCCUCGUGAGGGUAGCUGAAGGUACUAUACGAAUAAGCACCGGCUAACUCCGUGCCAGCAGCCGCGGUAAUACGGAGGGUGCAAGCGUUAUCCGGAUUUAUUGGGUUUAAAGGGUCCGUAGGCUGAUGUGUAAGUCAGUGGUGAAAUCUCACAGCUUAACUGUGAAACUGCCAUUGAUACUGCAUGUCUUGAGUGUUGUUGAAGUAGCUGGAAUAAGUAGUGUAGCGGUGAAAUGCAUAGAUAUUACUUAGAACACCCAUUGCGAAGGCAGGUUACUAAGCAACAACUGACGCUGAUGGACGAAAGCGUGGGGAGCGAACAGGAUUAGAUACCCUGGUAGUCCACGCCGUAAACGAUGCUAACUCGUUUUUGGGUUUUCGGAUUCAGAGACUAAGCGAAAGUGAUAAGUUAGCCACCUGGGGAGUACGAACGCAAGUUUGAAACUCAAAGGAAUUGACGGGGGCCCGCACAAGCGGUGGAUUAUGUGGUUUAAUUCGAUGAUACGCGAGGAACCUUACCAAGGCUUAAAUGGGAAAUGACAGGUUUAGAAAUAGACUUUUCUUCGGACAUUUUUCAAGGUGCUGCAUGGUUGUCGUCAGCUCGUGCCGUGAGGUGUUAGGUUAAGUCCUGCAACGAGCGCAACCCCUGUCACUAGUUGCCAUCAUUAAGUUGGGGACUCUAGUGAGACUGCCUACGCAAGUAGAGAGGAAGGUGGGGAUGACGUC